rnacentral:rRNA from 1 species
AUACGUAGGGGGCGAGCGUUGUCCGGAAUGAUUGGGCGUAAAGGGCGCGUAGGCGGCCCGGUAAGUCUGGAGUGAAAGUCCUGUUUUUAAGAUGGGAAUUGCUUUGGAUACUGUCGGGCUUGAGUGCAGGAGAGAUAAGUGGAAUUCCCAGUGUAGCGGUGAAAUGCGUAGAGAUUGGGAGGAACACCAGUGGCGAAGGCGACUUACUGGACUGUAACAGACGCUGAGGCGCGAAAGUGUGGGGAGCAAACAGGAUUAGAUACCCUGGUAGUCCACACUGUAAACGAUGAAUGCUAGGUGUAGGGGGUAUCGACCCCUUCUGUGCCGCAGUCAACACAAUAAGCAUUCCGCCUGGGGAGUACGGCGGCAAGGUUGAAACUCAAAUGAAUUGACGGGG